rnacentral:misc_RNA from 1 species
AAGUCGUAACAAGGUUUCCGUAGGUGAACCUGCGGAAGGAUCAUUAAUGAAAUGAAUGUCGAAAAGGGUUGUAGCUGGCCUCUUGAGGUAUGUGCACACCUUUAUCGCGCAUCCACAUCUCACACCUGUGCACAACCUGUAGCUUGGGAUGAUUACAAUUCUGGAAACGGUAUUGAAAGCCCUUGCUAUGAAUUUUUAAACAACCGUAUUAAAAGUUAUAGAAUGUUAUGGCGUGUAACAGCGCAAAUAAAUAUACAACUUUCAGCAACGGAUCUCUUGGCUCUC